rnacentral:SRP_RNA from 1 species
GCUGGGCAUGGUGGCACAUGCCUAUCAUCCCUGUUACUGGGGAGAAUGAAGCUGGUGGAUCACUUGAGCUCAGGAGUUCUGAGUUGCAGGGAGGCUAUGGCCAAUCAGAUGUUCUCAUUCAGUCUGGCACCAAUAUGGCGAGCCUCCUGGAGCAGGGGGCCGCAAGGCUACAUAAGGAGAAGCAAAUCAGUCUAACUUAGAAAAAGAGCAGCUCAAACUUGUGUGCAAAGUGAGGAUGAUCCCAUGUGUGGCUGCUGCCCUUCCAGCCUGGGCAGAAUAGGGAGACCCAGCCUCA